AAUAUAAAACGGAUAAGAAGAUCAUAGGAAAAUUGAAGAUUGAAUUGGUUUUUAAACAAAAUAAAAAAAGAUUAUAUAACUAAAAUAAUUUUAGAAUUUAAAAUUUAAAAACAAACCUUUAACGAUUUAUAAAUAUUUUAAUAUGCUUAAUAAGAGUAUAUAAUAACGUUAAAAUAUAAUUCUUUGAAAAUAUCCAUGUGAUUUUUUUUAAUCUUAGAAAUAGUUGCUAAAUUAAUU